CUGGCACAGGGUCCCCCUCCAUACCCUACCUAUUAGUGAAGAUCCGUUCGGCAGAGUAGCUGUCGACAUUAUAGUUGCGCAGGCACUUUGUUGACUCUUAAGAACCUCGGGCCAAUCGCACGUCCCCGUGAUGACAACUUUGCAUUCGGAUAUCAUCCAUAUCAAUUUUCGAUGCCAGUUUCUGCACCUACCAUGGUGACCACGGGUAACGGGAAAUCAGGGUUGGAUUACGAUGAGGGAAUCUGAGAAACGGCUACCACUUGCAAGGAAGGCAACAGGCGUGCAAAUGACCCACUCCCGAUGCAUGAAGGUAGUGACGUCAAAUAACAAUACAGGACUCUUUAGAGACCCUGUAAUUGUAAUGAGUCCACUUGAAAUCCUUUAACUCUGAUCAAUUGGAGGGCAAGUCUGGUGCAGAGCGACUGACCCGUGCGUGCUGCAGCUGAAACUCCACUAUCACCUGCUGGUGCUCGCCCAGUCUCUCCAG